ensembl:lncRNA
AGCAGGAGCACGUUCCACAUGGUUCCACUCAGGGCACAGCCAGGUCAGAGGGCCCCCCACCCCCUGCUGAGGACAGAGGGCUGUGGGCACUGCACUGAGCUCAGUGGUGAUGUUUGGCCCCUUGGAAUAAAGAGGACACAAAGAAAACGCAGGAGGUAAGGAAGCCCUCCACAGGAGCACCCCCUGAAGACCUCCAGCCGGGCACCGCGAUGGGAGCUUUGGCUCACACCUGACAUGUCAUCAAACAAACCCAAAUCCUCUGCUCCACCUGAGGACACGGCCCUUCUGCCCCUUCGCCCAUCUCUUGGCACAGAGGAGGCUCAGGCUGGGUACCAGAGGACAUUUCGUCUCCAGCAGAG